GGGCCGAUGGUGUAGUUGGUUAUCACGCUCGCUUAGCACAGUCACGUGAUCAAGGGCGUGCGAGAGGUGUUGGGUUCAAUUCCCAAUCGGUCCA